CCUACGGGUGGCAGCAGUCGGGAAUAUUUCACAAUGGAGGAAACUCUGAUGCAGCGCCGCCGCGUGAGUGAAGAAAUAUUUCCUUAUGUACAGCUCUAUCCGCAUGGAAGCAAGUGACAGUUACUGCACAAGAAGCUCCGGCUAAAUACGUGCCAGCAGCAGCGGUAAUACCUAUGGAGCAAGCGUUAGCCGGCUUUACUGGGUGUAAAGGGAGAGUAGGUUUAGGAGCAAGUCCGAAGUGAAAACCCAAAGCUCACCUAGGGGAAUGCUCUAGAAACUGCUCAGCUAGAGUGCAGGAGAGGGAAGUGGAAUUCUUAGUGUAGCAGUGAAAUGCGUAGAUAUUGGGAGGAACACUAGUGGCGAAGGCGGCUUGCUGGACUGUAACUGACGCUGAGGCUCGAAGGCGUGGGGAGCAAAAGGGAUGAGAUACCCUUGUAGUC
rnacentral:rRNA from 1 species